CAAUCCCUGGGUGCCCCAGUCUGUAUGCCAAAUACAAGCAAGACACUGACCCUGAGCAGCUGUCCGAUGCAUUCAUCAGACUGUUAGAUAUAAAGUGUUUGCAUGAACUCAUGUGAAUGAGGCAUGUCGUAUGAAGGGCCGAGUCCAUCUACCAAAGCAAAUAUUUAUUUUCUGUGAAACCUUUCAGCCAAGAUAAGACACUCACUUCAGAACUCCGCUGGGAAAUUUCAAAAAAUGUGGGGACCCUUCCUUGAUGCUUUUCAAAAUCUAUAAGAAUUUUUCAGCAAACUCUCUUAAGUCAGGUGUGGAAAUGCAGUGUGCGAGUGCAGGCAGUGACCUGGGUGGGAAUGAAUGGGAUUGUUUUGCAAGGAAUUAUGUUACUUUGGGAUAUAUUAUACAUUUGUUUAUAUUUUUAUCUUUGUUUCCCUUUUUUCUUUUUCUUCUUUCCUUUUAUUUCACAGCCGAAGAUACAUUUCUGAACUCAUUUCACAGCUUAAAUGUACUACUUAACCUUAAUGUACAGAUCAUCUGUAAUCCUUCUCUUUUCUUUCUGUUUAUAUGUAUAAUAUAUAUGUUGAUGCUUAUGUGUAUAAAAGGAAACCUCUUAAUAAAAAAAGACAUUGUUUAAAAAACCUUUCAGCCAGUUUGACUUUGACCGGUCAUAUUUAUUUAUUUUUCUUUUUAUAUUUUAUUUUUAAAACUAGUUAAAAUGAGUUGUACGACUGAAGCUGAACCCCUGCCCAGCUGAGCUUUCAUAUUACAGGAAUUAUAGAGUACUUACAAAAACAUCAGACAACAUCCAGGUGGCGUGAGUAACUAAAAGUAAGGUUUUCAUGCUGUUUACUUGAUGUUGGUAUUUGCACUUGGGGUAAACACUUGAGGGCAAAUUAACAUCAGGCACUAAAAUAACCUCACUGAUGCUACUGUCAGCCCCCCCCCCCGGGCAUUUCAAUCUGAUCAGUUUUACACUGGACGUCCUUCCCGAUGCGACCCCAGGGAAAUGCACGUCUUGUCGUCCUUUCUCCAACGCCUCCUGUUGGAGUUUGUCAGGAGGUUAAAUGGCCGCAUGCUCCUGUUAGCAAGAUCAACUGUGAUUUUAUUAGAAUGAUCUGCAGUAAACAUCAUUAUGAACUCUGAGUCAGAG
ensembl:lncRNA